GAUGAACGCUGGCGGCGUGCCUAAUACAUGCAAGUCGAGCGAACAGAUGAGGAGCUUGCUCCUCUGACGUUAGCGGCGGACGGGUGAGUAACACGUGGAUAACCUACCUAUAAGACUGGGAUAACUUCGGGAAACCGGAGCUAAUACCGGAUAAUAUAUUGAACCGCAUGGUUCAAUAGUGAAAGACGGUUUUGCUGUCACUUAUAGAUGGAUCCGCGCCGCAUUAGCUAGUUGGUAAGGUAACGGCUUACCAAGGCGACGAUGCGUAGCCGACCUGAGAGGGUGAUCGGCCACACUGGAACUGAGACACGGUCCAGACUCCUACGGGAGGCAGCAGUAGGGAAUCUUCCGCAAUGGGCGAAAGCCUGACGGAGCAACGCCGCGUGAGUGAUGAAGGUCUUCGGAUCGUAAAACUCUGUUAUUAGGGAAGAACAAAUGUGUAAGUAACUAUACACGUCUUGACGGUACCUAAUCAGAAAGCCACGGCUAACUACGUG
rnacentral:rRNA from 1 species